rnacentral:snoRNA from 1 species
GAAAGCAUACUAUACAGAAUCAUUUCUGUAGUGUGUGAUUCGCAGUCCCAAUCAAAGGGCGAUACUGUCCACCGCGAUGAACGGGUGACGGGCGAAUUGCUAGCGGAAAGAGCGCGUUCUUCGCGUUGAUGCGAGCGGAAAGAGCGCGUUCUUCGCGUUGAGGACCGUGACGCGACCUUGCGGUCGUGUCAGCGGCUCGUUCUUCUGAGCGGU